UUUUUUUCUGUCUUCAUUUAGUAUUCUCAGAUACAGCACUGGAAAAGUCUGAAAUGUAUCAGAAAAUCUUAUAGUAUCUGCUUUGCAGAAAGGCACUGGUGAACUCCUAAAAUAUCUCAGAAGUCGAAAACAAGAACAACCAGAUGGGAGCUUGAAAGAAGAGCCAAAAACAGCAACGACCCUCCCAAGCCAAGCUAAAAUCAAUGUGCAUGCCAUCAAAACACAGGACUAUAGGUUAAAAAAAAUCAUCAUAAGCAACUGUGAGAGCAGGAUUUUGUGUCUUUAAUGGUAAAGCCUUUUUAAUUAGCGAGAAACAAGAGGGAUCCAUCCCAGAUGAGGUGUUUGAUGCAGCUGACGAUAGUUGAUGCAACAUAAACUUCAGAAUUUUGGAGUUAAAGGACAACCUAGCAGACAUUAAUCUUGGGUUUAACAAGCUAACAACCAUUCCAGUGGACUUUUCUAAGGUGAAACAUCUACAUUUAGAUUUCAG